UCCAAGGGUUGAGGAAAAAUCCCUAAUGUUGGACCCCUAUUCCUUUUCUUCCUCACGCGACGCAAGAGGUCUAUCCCGCGUUUUCUGCGGCUAGGGCACAGCGAUCCCGCACCACCUCCUCCUUCUUUCUUCUUUCGCCGGCCGACGUAGUGACAACAACCAAUUUCAGGCGGCAAGCUUCGGCUCCGAUCAUCCACCUCACCGGAGGGGUUCUCAGGUGAGAUUCUUCACCUUGCGUCGUUCUUCUUUCCCUUCUUCCGACUAUGGUUCAGGCAGCAGAGGCAGAGAAGCGGCGGUGGUUCAUCCGAUUUCACAGCACCUCCAUUACUUCCGUUCAUCUUCCAUCGAGGCGGUUCUUCGGUGGAAGUUUCGUUCAUCAUCACCGUUGUUGAAGCAAGCACAAUCGGUAUUUUGGGGGUUCUAGAGCUGGCGUUUUGUGUGAUUGCAGGGAGGGUUAGAAGAGGAGAAGUUGUACCAUUCCACAUCAUUCCGAGCAGCUCUUCUCCAACAGAUCUGGACAGGUCUCCACAGCAGCCUUCAAGUUCGAUCAACAGUUCUUCAUCAGAUUUCAACAGCAGUUCUUCUCUAGAUUUGGAUCUCCACAGCAGCUCUUAAUUCCACCAAGUCCGAGCAGCAAUUCUCCUUCAUCAGAUUCUGAACAGCAAGUUUAUUCUCUUAUUGUUGAUACUUUGGUUUGCAUGGUUGUUAAUUUGGUGUAAUUGACGUUUCUUUUAGUUUGUUGAUGAAUGCUUGUAUUGAGCUAUUCUCCCUUGUUUUAAAUUUGCACGUACUUUGCUUAGUUUACUUAA